GCGUCGGUGCUUCAGUGGUAGAAUACUCGCCUGCCACGCGGGUGACCCGGGUUCGAUUCUCGGCCGACGCA
rnacentral:tRNA from 1 species